GAGAACCAAGAGGUCCGGGACAGGAAGGAGGUGAUUUUCAGUGAUAAGGUUCCUGGAGUCCCUUUGGAUUAAAAGAGGGAUUCUAAAUCUCCCAGCCCUGACACCAACCACACAGUCGUCCUCAGGAGCGCUGUAUUAUGCAACCAUCAACUUUGGGAGACUCAAGUCCUGAGAAGACCUGGAGAGUCAGAACCCAGGGAGUCUCUGGGGCCAAACCAAACCUUCCAAGAAAGGUUCUCUAGGAGGCAUGUAGGACUUAUGGGGAAGGAGAAGAAAUAAAGAGAAAGCCUUCUCAUUCAUGCAUAGAAGAUGCUCAUUGCUCUUUCUGGAGCCCUGAAGCUCUUUUCUUCUCUGCUCCCCCUGAUGUUCUAUUAACUGAAGCAAUUUUCCUUCUGCACUUCUCAGGAGUGGAGAGAGAAGGCAUUCGAGAAUCAGGGAAGCAGAGACUUUUUUCAGGAAUAUUCCUUUUUUUCCUCUAGGCUACUUCUCAAGGGGACAAAGCCCUGACUAUUUUAAUUAGCUUAUCAUAACACACUGAAUGUCAGAGGUUGGAGGACCCUUGUAUGGUAUAUAUUUUGGAACUAUCACCUCACCUCUCGCUUUCAUUGUUUCAGUUAAUGAGAAUCUGUACACUAGUUCUUUAGGGCAGUAACAAUAGGUAUUGGGUUUUGUCCUAGUUCUCCUGAAACCUCACUAGGGUGCAUCACAACAUGAUUGACAGUUGGUAUCAAUCAAUCAGACAAACUAGUGAUUUCUUAAUUUAUAAUAAUAAUAAUAUACUAUAUAAUAUAUAUUGAAACAAGCUAAUGAUUGUUGGUAAUUAAUUGAUGAUUAAUAUAAUACUUAAUAAAACAAAUAAUUAAAAUAAAUUUUAAAGAUUAAAACAAAAUAUCCUUUU